CUUGUAUUCCCUCCGUCCAACAAAGUCCAACAAAAGAUGUUUCAAGUUUGUCAAAAUUUGAAUGUAUCUAAACAUAACUUAGUGUAUAUAUGCAUUCAAAUUUCAUCAAAAUUGAGACAUCUUUUGUUGGACAGAGGGAGUAGCAU
rnacentral:pre_miRNA from 1 species